UACGGAAGGCAGCAGUGGGGAAGUAUUGCACAAUGGGCGCAAGCCUGAUGCAGCCAUGCCGCGUGUAUGAAGAAGGCCUUCGGGUUGUAAAGUACUUUCAGUCGUGAGGAAGGUGUUAAGGUUAAUAACCUUAGCAAUUGACGUUAGCGACAGAAGAAGCACCGGCUAACUCCGUGCCAGCAGCCGCGGUAAUACGGAGGGUGCGAGCGUUAAUCGGAAUUACUGGGCGUAAAGGGCACGCAGGCGGUUAAUUAAGUUGGAUGUGAAAUCCCCGGGCUUAACCUGGGAAUGGCAUUCAAGACUGGUUAGCUAGAGUCUUGUAGAGGGGGUAGAAUUCCAUGUGUAGCGGUGAAAUGCGUAGAGAUGUGGAGGAAUACCGGUGGGCGAAGGCGGCCCCUGGAGAAACGACUGCGCUCAUGUGCGAAAGCGUGGGGAGCAAACAGGGAUUAGAUACC
rnacentral:rRNA from 1 species